rnacentral:rRNA from 1 species
UACGUAGGGUCCGAGCGUUGUCCGGAGUUACUGGGCGUAAAGCGCGCGCAGGCGGUCACGCAGGCCAUCUGUUAAAGCACCCGGCUCAACCGGGUUGUUGCGGGUGAAACCGCGUGACUUGAGGGUGGGAGAGGUCGGUGGAAUUCCCGGUGUAGUGGUGAAAUGCGUAGAUAUGCGGAGGAACACCGAUGGCGAAGGCAAUCCCCUGGACCUGUACUGACGCUCAUGCACGAAAGCGUGGGGAGCAAACAGG